rnacentral:piRNA from 2 species
UCCCUUUCAGGAUUUGGUGGCUUCCUCUCU